CUCAGAUUGAACGCUGGCGGCAGGCCUAACACAUGCAAGUCGAACGGUAACAGGAAGCAGCUUGCUGUUUCGCUGACGAGUGGCGGACGGGUGAGUAAUGUCUGGGAAACUGCCUGAUGGAGGGGGAUAACUACUGGAAACGGUAGCUAAUACCGCAUAACGUCGCAAGACCAAAGAGGGGGACCUUCGGGCCUCUUGCCAUCGGAUGUGCCCAGAUGGGAUUAGCUAGUAGGUGGGGUAACGGCUCACCUAGGCGACGAUCCCUAGCUGGUCUGAGAGGAUGACCAGCCACACUGGAACUGAGACACGGUCCAGACUCCUACGGGAGGCAGCAGUGGGGAAUAUUGCACAAUGGGCGCAAGCCUGAUGCAGCCAUGCCGCGUGUAUGAAGAAGGCCUUAGGGUUGUAAAGUACUUUCAGCGGGGAGGAAGGGAGUAAAGUUAAUACCUUUGCUCAUUGACGUUACCCGCAGAAGAAGCACCGGCUAACUCCGUGCCA
rnacentral:rRNA from 1 species